CACGUAGGGGGCAAGCGUUGUCCGGAUUUAUUGGGCGUAAAGAGCUCGUAGGUGGUUCGGUAAGUCGGGUGUGAAACCUCCAGGCUCAACCUGGAGACGCCACCCGAUACUGCUGUGACUGGAGUCCGGUAGGGGAGCGUGGAAUUCCUGGUGUAGCGGUGAAAUGCGCAGAUAUCAGGAGGAACACCAGCGGCGAAGGCGGCGCUCUGGGCCGGUACUGACACUGAGGAGCGAAAAGCGUGGGGUAGCAAACAGG
rnacentral:rRNA from 1 species